UACGUAGGGUGCAAGCGUUAAUCGGAAUUACUGGGCGUAAAGCGUGCGCAGGCGGUCUUGCAAGACAGAUGUGAAAUCCCCGGGCUCAACCUGGGAACUGCAUUUGUGACUGCAAGGCUUGAGUGCGGCAGAGGGGAAUGGAAUUCCGCAUGUAGCAGUGAAAUGCGUAGAUAUGCGGAGGAACACCGAUGGCGAAGGCAAUUCCCUGGGCCUGCACUGACGCUCAUGCACGAAAGCGUGGGGAGCAAACAGG
rnacentral:rRNA from 1 species